GAACCGACUAAUGUUGAAAAAUUAGCGGAUGACUUGUGGCUAGGGGUGAAAGGCCAAUCAAACCUGGAGAUAGCUGGUUCUCCCCGAAAGCUAUUUAGGUAGCGCCUCGGACGAAUACUACUGGGGGUAGAGCACUGUUAAGGCUAGGGGUCAUCCCGACUUACCAACCCUUUGCAAACUCCGAAUACCAGUAAGUACUAUCCGGGAGACACACGGCGGGUGCUAACGUCCGUCGUGGAGAGGGAAACAACCCAGACCGCCAGCUAAGGUCCCAAAGUAUAGCUAAGUGGGAAACGAUGUGGGAAGGCUCAGACAGCCAGGAUGUUGGCUUAGAAGCAGCCAUCAUUUAAAGAAAGCGUAAUAGCUCACUGGUCGAGUCGGCCUGCGCGGAAGAUGUAACGGGGCUAAGCUAUACACCGAAGCUGCGGCUACGUACCUUAGGGUAUGUGGGGUAGGGGAGCGUUCUGUAAGCCGUUGAAGGUGGUCUGUAAGGGCUGCUGGAGGUAUCAGAAGUGCGAAUGCUGACAUGAGUAACGAUAAAGGGAGUGAAAAACUCCCUCGCCGGAAGACCAAGGGUUCCUGUCCAACGUUAAUCGGGGCAGGGUAAGUCGACUCCUAAGGCGAGGCCGAAAGGCGUAGUCGAUGGGAAACGGGUUAAUAUUCCCGUACUUCUUACAAUUGCGAUGGGGGGACGGAGAAGGCUAGGUGGGCCUGGCGACGGUUGUCCAGGUUCAAGUA
rnacentral:rRNA from 1 species